ACGCUCGACACCUACGGGAGGCAGCAGUUGGGAAUAUUGGACAAUGGAGGAAACUCUGAUCCAGUGACGCCGCGUGAAGGAAGAAGGUCUUCGGAUUGUAAACUUAUUUUGUCAGGGAAGAAAAAUGACUGUACCUGAAGAAAAAGCACCGGCUAACUACGUGCCAGUAGCCNGGUAGUAUGNGCGGCGNGNGAGAG
rnacentral:rRNA from 1 species